AUGACAGUGAGAGAGAGAGAGAGUCAAUCGUUGGGUUGCGCAUGCGCAGACAGAUUGCGCGACCGGCGGGCCUUGAACUUUUUAAGGGAAAAAACACUUUCUCACGGACGGUGACAGCGAAGCGGAUAACAGUCUUGAGUACCUGCUGGUCUUUGAAGCUCUGGAUUCUGGGACUGUUGGAAAAGAGGCGGCGGCGAGAGGGGAGACCUCGGCUCAUCCAGCUGGACAGCCUGACCAGGAGGAGUCUACAUUAACUCGGCUCUUCCAGGGCACCCUGCAGACUCGGCUGCUGGCAACACUGGGAUGAUGUGAACGCCAAACAGGAGUCCAUCACAGGUCGACUGCAGCUCCUUGUCUCAGAGUGGGAGGGAUUUGAAGCACAAAGGGAGGAGCUUGUCGUUUGGUUGGCUGAUAUGGAUGUCCACCUGAGUGAGGUUGACCAGCUGACAGGAAACACCUGUGAAAAACUGAAACAACUGCAGGUGUGGGGUUGUUUUGAUAUGACAUAUAUUUGAUAUGAUACAUACGUCAGAGACAUUAUCCUAAACUGGACUAACAAAGAACCAUGAGUCCAACUAGGGCUGCUCAAUUAAUCGAAUUUUAAUCUAGAUUACGAUCUGGGCUUUCAACGAUCAUUAAAAAUGACUGAGCCGAUUAUUAGCACCUCCCUCGUGCUUUACUCUCGCGCUGCUCCGUGUGGCAAAUCGAGCACACCUCUCUGCGAUUCGAACACACGUCAUAACAAUUAAGAGGACCCGAGGGAA